ACUCAAAUGAAUUGACGGGGGCCCGCACAAGCAGCGGAGCGUGUGGUUUAAUUCGAGGCUACACGAAAAACCUUACCUAGAUUUGACAUAGUGGUAGUAGGGGGUGGAAACAUUCCCGACCGCAAGGAGCCAUUACAGGUGCUGCAUGGCUGUCGUCAGCUCGUGCCGUGAGGUGUAGGGUUAAGUCCUGAAACGAGCGCAACCCUCAGGGUUAGUUAGAUUGUCUAACCCGACUGCCCGUGACAAGCGGGAGGAAGGUGGGGAUGAUGUCAAGUCAGCAUGGCCUUUAUAUCUAGGGCUACACACACGCUACAAUGGUCGGUACAAUGGGCAGCCAAGCCGCAAGGCGGAGCGAAUCCAAUCAAAGCCGGCCCCAGUUCAGAUUGUGGGCUGCAACCCGCCCACAUGAAGUCGGAGUUGCUAGUAACCGCGCGUCAGCAUAGUGCGGUGAAUACGUUCCCGGGCCUUGUACACACCGCCCGU
rnacentral:rRNA from 1 species